GGGAGACAAGGAUGAUAUAUGUUGGAUAGGAAAAAGAGAGCAAACCAUACCAGAGCACCCGCCAACCACACACAGGGCUCUGGCAUUAGACAGAGCUUUAAGUUUUUAGGGACUGACAUGGCUUGUUCUGUUUAUUAUCCUGAGCGGCCGCAACUGCAAGCGAAAUGGUAUGAUGGUGAUGUUCUGGUAGGCAGAUGCUCUUAAAAGAACUCCCCAAGUAUUUUCGGUGUCGUCAUGAAUAAAUGACAGACAUUUAACAGAGAUCAAAUUAAUAUAUUUUUAUUGAAGGAAAAACAUACUAAUCGAAGGAAUAGCAUUUUAAAAACCGUCAUCUUGUUGCUUUUUUUCUUCUUUCUUUUUUUUUCUCAUCUUCUUUGCCCGUUUCCUUCUUCUUUCUUUUCUAAUAUUGUCUUAUCGUGAUCUUAAAAAUGUCUGAAAAACUACAAUUAUUUAUUAUGAAUGUAAAAAAACAACAACAGCAAAACAAACUGGCAAACAGAAAAUCAAAGAAAUGAAUAUUGUAAGUAGAUAAUCAGAGAAAUGACAAACAAGGAAUAAAAAAAAUGAAAUACAUUGUAUAUGAAUAUGAUGAUGAUGAUGAUGAUGAUGAUGAUAGGAUCUCCUUUCUUUGAUAUUCAAGCGUUUGUGAUUUCGUGUGUAAAAAUUAAUGAGUAUGCUUGAGGACUGUGAAAAGUCCGAUACAAUGUACGUGACAUUCUGUUCUAUGUAGUUCAGCUCAGCGACAAACCCUGACUGGCUCAUUAUAAUUUUGUUUGCAGACAUUCUGUAUGUAAAAUACCUCAGGUUUUGGUUAAAGAAUAUGGCAUCAAUAGAGAAUUUACAAAUUUUACCCUAAUGUCGAUAUAAAUUUGCAAACUUCACCUAUUGGAGCUCAUAUGACCUUAUGCAGUUGUGGGCGCCAUAAAACCUCUACUGAAACUAUACUUCACCUAUAAGCGUGAUGUUUCUAUUUCGUUAGGAGUCAUUUCGUUAAGGCUUGAAUCCGAGAAGUAACUCAUUUUGUCAGCACGCUUCAGUCAGACUAUCCUUUUUCGCGGACGUUCUUGAUCUCUCGUUGAUCUGGGGGAGUUUGAUGGAGGCACUCCACUCUAAUCGGAGUUGGGUUGGACACUUCAUAAAACAAUGUUUAUACUAAUUCGGGGGCUAUUUUAUCUAUAUCAUACUCCCCGUUUUUGCACUUCUGUGAAGAAAAAUAUUACGCAGUUAUUGUUGAUAUUUGUUUGCAAAGAAACGUCUGGUUAAUUACGUUUUGAAUGUAUGCAAAUCAAAGAUUUUUCGUCGCGCUCAUAAGGCAGUUGCCUAAGUCAUUUUUGACUGGCUUUGGAGUUUUUGGUUCUGAAAUGAAGAGCAGAGCCAGCUUUGUGAUAUAGUACACUUGGACACCCCUCCAAAAAAAAAAAAAAAAAAUUUUUAAAUAAUAAAUUCC